UACAGAGGGGGCAAGCGUUGUUCGGAAUUACUGGGCGUAAAGGGCGCGUAGGCGGCCUGCUAAGUCGAACGUGAAAUCCCUGGGCUCAACCCAGGAACUGCGUCCGAUACUGGUUGGCUUGAAUCCGGGAGAGGGAUGUGGAAUUCCUGGUGUAGCGGUGAAAUGCGCAGAUAUCAGGAGGAACACCGGUGGCGAAGGCGGAUCUCUGGGCCUUACCUGACGCUCAGGCGCGAAAGCUAGGGGAGCGAACAGG
rnacentral:rRNA from 1 species